rnacentral:rRNA from 1 species
AGAGUUUGAUCCUGGCUCAGAACGAACGCUGGCGGCGUGGUUAAGACAUGCAAGUCGAACGUGGCCUUUGAUUUCGAUUAAAGGUCUAGUGGCGAACGGGUGCGUAACAGGUAGGUAACGUGCCCUGUGCUUCGGGAUAGCGUCUCGAAAGGGGCGAUAAUACCGGAUGCUGUCAUUGAGCGACAGUUCAAUGAUGAAAGGGUAACCGGCACAGGAGCGGCCUGCCUCCUAUCAGCUUGUUGGUGAGGUAAAAGCUCACCAAGGCAACGACGGGUAGCGGGACUGAGAGGUUGACCCGCCACAUCGGGACUGAGACACUGCCCGGACCCCCACGGGGGGCUGCAGUAACGAAUCUUCCACAAUGGGCGAAAGCCUGAUGGAGCGACGCCGCGUGCGGGAAGAAGUCCUUCGGGAUGUAAACCGCUGUCAGGGACAAGAAACUCCCGGUUCGCCGGGAUUGAUCUACCCCUGAGGAAGUCACGGCUAACUUCGUGCCAGCAGCCGCGGUAAGACGAAGGUGGCUAGCGUUGUUCGGUAUCACUGGGCUUAAAGGGUAUGUAGGCGGAAUGGAAAGCGUCGUGUGAAAGCCCUCGGCUUAACCGAGGAAUUGCUCGGCGAACUUCCAUUCUUGAGGCAAACAGGGGUGCGCGGAACUCUUGGUGGAGCGGUGGAAUGCGUAGAUAUCAAGAGGAACGCCGGUGGCGAAAGCGGCGCACUAUGUUUGCACUGACGCUGAAGUACGAAAGCGUGGGGAGCGAACGGGAUUAGAUACCCCGGUAGUCCACGCCGUAACGAUGUGUACUAGGCUGUGGUAGUUCUGACACUUUCACGGCCGAAGCAAAAGCGUUAAG